CCCUUAGAUGUUCUGGGCCGCACGCGCGCUACACUGAUGCAUUCAACGUGCCUAUCCUUGACCGACAGGUCCGGGUAAUCUUUGAAUCUGCAUCGUGACGGGGAUAGAUUAUUGCAAUUAUUAAUCUUCAACGAGGAAUGCCUAGUAGGCGCAAGUCAUCAGCUUGCGUCGAUUACGUCCCUGCCCUUUGUACACACCGCCCGUCGCUCCUACCGAUUGGGUGUGCUGGUGAAAUGUUCGGAUCGGCCGUUUGUCGCGGUUUCCGCGGCUCGUGGCUGAGAAGUUCAUUAAACCCUCCCACCUAGAGGAAGGAGAAGUCGUAACA
rnacentral:rRNA from 1 species